AAGCUAGAAUAAUCGCAUGAUGUAUCUCCAGCUAUUGACUUGCGGGAACCGUCUUUUACGUCUUCCUGUAAACCAUAAAACAAGUGAUAUAGUUGGUCAUUUUUCGUGCAAUAU